GCGAGAGUGGUGGAAUGGCAGACACGCUAGACUUAGGAUCUAGUGCCUUGCGGCGUGAGGGUUCAAGUCCCUUCUCUCGCA
rnacentral:tRNA from 3 species